rnacentral:rRNA from 1 species
UACGAAGGGGGCUAGCGUUGCUCGGAAUCACUGGGCGUAAAGCGCACGUAGGCGGCUUACUAAGUCAGGGGUGAAAUCCUGGAGCUCAACUCCAGAACUGCCUUUGAUACUGGUGAGCUUGAGUCCGGAAGAGGUGAGUGGAACUGCGAGUGUAGAGGUGAAAUUCGUAGAUAUUCGCAAGAACACCGGUGGCGAAGGCGGUGGUCUGGGCCUGAACUGACGCUGAGGAGCGAAAGCCAGGG